rnacentral:rRNA from 1 species
UAUGGGUUAGUGGCGGACGGGUGAGUAACGCGUGGGUAACCUGCCUUACACAGGGGGAUAACACUUAGAAAUAGGUGCUAAAACCGCAUAAGCGCACAGCUUCGCAUGAAGCGGUGUGAAAAACUCCGGUGGUGUAAGAUGGACCCGCGUCUGAUUAGCUAGUUGGUGGGGUAACGGCCUACCAAGGCGACGAUCAGUAGCCGGCCUGAGAGGGUGAACGGCCACAUUGGGACUGAGACACGGCCCAAACUCCUACGGGAGGCAGCAG